AUGAACGCUGGCGGCGUGCCUAAUACAUGCAAGUCGAGCGAACAGACGAGGAGCUUGCUCCUCUGACGUUAGCGGCGGACGGGUGAGUAACACGUGGAUAACCUACCUAUAAGACUGGGAUAACUUCGGGAAACCGGAGCUAAUACCGGAUAAUAUAUUGAACCGCAUGGUUCAAUAGUGAAAGACGGUUUUGCUGUCACUUAUAGAUGGAUCCGCGCCGCAUUAGCUAGUUGGUAAGGUAACGGCCUACCAAGGCAACGAUGCGUAGCCGACCUGAGAGGGUGAUCGGCCACACUGGAACUGAGACACGGUCCAGACUCCUACGGGAGGCAGCAGUAGGGAAUCUUCCGCAAUGGGCGAAAGCCUGUCGGAGCAACGCCGCGUGAGUGAUGAAGGUCUUCGGAUCGUAAAACUCUGUUAUUAGGGAAGAACAAAUGUGUAAGUAACUAUGCACGUCUUGACGGUACCUAAUCAGAAAGCCACGGCUAACUACGUG
rnacentral:rRNA from 1 species